AAAGUAGCAUUAAAGCUCUUCUCAGUAAUCUGUCUAGCCUGGAAUUCUUGUAUAGCCUUUAUAAUAUUCUCUUUUAGGAUCUCCCAGAAAGACAAGUAAAAGGACAUGGGGAAACCAUCAGGUCCAGGUGCUUUCUCCAUAGCACAAAGCUUUAAGCAGCCUAAGAUCUCUUCCUCCUCAAAAGGACCCUCUAGUUCUAUCUGCUCCUCCACACUAAUGGUUGUGAUCCCUUGUAAUUGUAGCUCAGGCCUCCACUCCUCUGGUUCUGUGUACAAAUUUUGGUAGAAGCUUUUGAUGGUCUCUUUAAUGACAGAGGGGUCAUUAGUAUUGCAUCCAUCCACCAGUAGAGACUCAAUGGAAUUAUACCUCUUUUGAGAAGUCGCUACUAUGUGAAAAAACUUAGUAUUUUUAUCCCCCUGCUUUAGCCACUGGAUUCUUGAUCUUUGCCUCCAUCUUAUUUCUUCAUUCUUAGCUACUUGCUCAUAAGUGAUGGCCAAAUUUGUUUUUUGUUGGAUCUCCUCCUCUGUGAGCACUCUUUGUUCCUGUACAGCUUCCCAUUUGGCCAGCUCCUCCAUAAUCUCCUCCUUUUGUGCUUUACAAUUUUUUCUAUUAUUCUUACUCCAUUCCUUCAUCUUUCCUUUCAAAAGUUUCAGCUUUUCUGCCAAAACAAAACCUGGGGUUCCAGUUAUUACAAAAGAUUGCCACCAUAAUUUCACCUCUUCCUUGAAUCCUUCCACUCUCAUCCACCAAUUUUCGAAUUUGAAGUAGGACUUCUUGAAAUUCAGAUUCCCACAUGUCAGUAGAAUUGGGUUGUGGUCAGAUCCCAACUUUGGCAUUGUGGAUUGCUUGAUAAAAGUGAACUGCUCCUCCCAUUGUGAGCUAUAGAGAAAUCUAUCAAUUCUGUAAAUAAAAAGGGUGAAAGAGGAUCACCUUGUCUGAUUCCCCUUCCUGAAGAGAAAAAACCCACCGGUUCCCUUUCCUGGAGUCCACACACUCACUUGCAAUGAGAGCUGCAUCCAUUAUUUGUCUUCCUUUAAUGAAUGCCAUUUGGUUUUUGUUGACAAGCUUACCAAUCACUCUUUUCAGCCUUUCUGCCAGUAGUUUUGCUAUCACCUUGUAAACUCCAGUAAUCAGACUUAUUGGUCUGAAGUCCUUAAGUUCAGCAGCACUGGCUUUCUUGGGGAUGAGUGCUACAAAAGUAGCAUUAAAGCUCUUCUCAGUAAUCUGUCUAGCCUGGAUUUCUUGUAUAGCCUUUAUAAUAUUCUCUUUUAGGAUCUCCCAGAAAGACAAGUAAAAGGACAUGGGGAAACCAUCAGGUCCAGGUGCUUUCUCCAUAGCACAAAGCUUUAAGCAGCCUAAGAUCUCUUCCUCCUCAAAAGGACCCUCUAGUUCUAUCUGCUCCUCCACACUAAUGGUUGUGAUCCCUUGUAAUUGUAGCUCAGGCCUCCACUCCUCUGGUUCUGUGUACAAAUUUUGGUAGAAGCUUUUGAUGGUCUCUUUAAUGACAGAGGGGUCAUUAGUAUUGCAUCCAUCCACCAA
rnacentral:lncRNA from 1 species